CCGGCCCUGCCCGGCCGGCCCUGCGGCGGCUCGGGCGCGGCAGGGCUGGGAGCGGCCGUGCGGCCCUUCCGGAGCGGGCCGGACGAAGUCCGGGUGUUGCUGCCGUCGCCAGGUGCCACGGGCCGGCGGGGUCUAGGACAGACACUGCGGGGCUUCGUAAUCCCGAGUACGGGAGUGUUCCGGGAGCCCCACGCGGCUGAAGACAGCAUUUCCCACAAGCAACGAUCAGUAUAUUUGCUUGUUUUCGUCCUCUUGAUUUCACCUUAAUUCUCUAGAGGUCAGACCGUGCUAUGACAUACAGUAGUAGCGUGUUACCCACCCGUGGCUGGAUAAAGCAGAACCAACCCCCUCCAUCAAAUGCUUUACAUCGCUACAGCAAAGGAGGUUGAGAUGGUACAGGCAGGAACCUCCUUCCUACUGUCUCUACAACAGGUACACGACAAGUCAAAGCAAACAUAUAGGACUGUGAAUGAAGCUAAACACACAAAGAACCCCUAAAAGCAGACUUCUGUCACGGGAUUUACCACUGAACAACAGUUUUUCCAUGAAACCAGCGUAAGACUUCCAUCUACCCAACUUCUUGAAGAGUUUAAAGGCGCCACUCUGAUGGUUGCAGGUGUUGGAUUCUUUGAUAAUCAAAUUGUAAUAAAGUGUGUCAUC